rnacentral:rRNA from 1 species
UACGAAGGGUGCAAGCGUUACUCGGAAUUACUGGGCGUAAAGCGUGCGUAGGUGGUGAGUUAAGUCUGUCGUGAAAGCCCCGGGCUCAACCUGGGAAUGGCGAUGGAUACUGGCUCGCUAGAGUGCGGUAGAGGAGAGUGGAAUUCCCGGUGUAGCAGUGAAAUGCGUAGAUAUCGGAAGGAACAUCAGUGGCGAAGGCGGAUCUCUGGACAGUUACUGACACUGAGGCACGAAGGCCAGGGGAGCAAACGGG